AUACGGAGGGUGCAAGCGUUAUCCGGAUUCACUGGGUUUAAAGGGUGCGUAGGUGGGUAUGUAAGUCAGUGGUGAAAUCCCCGAGCUUAACUUGGGAACUGCCGUUGAUACUAUAUAUCUUGAAUAUCGUAGAGGUAAGCGGAAUAUGUCAUGUAGCGGUGAAAUGCUUAGAGAUGACAUAGAACACCAAUUGCGAAGGCAGCUUGCUAUGCGAUUAUUGACACUGAGGCACGAAAGCGUGGGUAGCAAACAGGAUUAGAUACCCUGGUAGUCCACGCCCUAAACUAUGGAUACUCGACAUACGCGAUACACUGUGUGUGUCUGAGCGAAAGCAUUAAGUAUCCCACCUGGGAAGUACGACCGCAAGGUUGAA
rnacentral:rRNA from 1 species